rnacentral:sRNA from 1 species
UUUAUCUGGCCAACACCCACGGACACGGUCACUCUAAAUCCCAUAAAGAUUAUAGGAGAAAGUAUGGAAACAGACGGUUUACUUGUGGUAUAUCUAAGUGACGGGGUAUGUGGCAGUUCAACACCUUGACUAUUUCGUUUUUAGUUUCACAUUUAUGCAGAUUUAAUGCCAAUUUUCAAUGGCGGCAAUCAAAACAUAAUAUUUACCAAACAAAUACGCAGCGUUGCAAUAUGUUUGCACCUCUCCAGAGAUUUUACCUUCCAAUUAGUUGCUGAAAAUGGAUGCACCAAAUUGUCAUAUCGAUGGCCAUAUCAGCGCAUAUUGUCGCAGGAAAAAGUAAUGAAACCCACGGAAGAAAGGAAACCGAAAUUGAAUUUCGAGAGCAGUGGUCGCAAAAAUGCUUUUAACGCGAGCCAAAUGCGUUGAAGAUACGAUAUGAGUGGCCAAAGGGAAAUGGGUCCUGGAGCGUGCAUCAUAAUUAAUGUUAAUUGCCUGAUUGAAUGGGAGGCCUACGAAUCCACGUGUCCUUUUUCAGGAUGAAUUGCCGGAAACUUUAUUGGAGCAUAUUGCGCCUGAAUAAACAUUGGAAAAUGUGUGCUCAUUAUAAAGAUCGCAAUUGCAACAAAUGCUUUAAGUGAAUUAAGCAAGA